rnacentral:rRNA from 1 species
UACGUAGGGUGCAAGCGUUGUCCGGAAUUAUUGGGCGUAAAGAGCUCGUAGGCGGUUUGUUGCGUCGGCUGUGAAAUCCCGAGGCUCAACCUCGGGUCUGCAGUCGAUACGAGCAAACUAGAGUGUUGCAGGGGAGACUGGAAUUCCUGGUGUAGCGGUGAAAUGCGCAGAUAUCGGGAGGAACACCGGUGGCGAAGGCGGUCCUCUGGGCCUGUACUGACGCUGAGGAGCGAAAGCGUGGGGAGCGAACAGG